rnacentral:rRNA from 1 species
UACGUAGGCAGCAAGCGUUGUUCGGAGUUACUGGGCGUAAAGGGUGUGUAGGCGGUUCCUUAAGUUUGCUGUGAAAUCUCCCGGCUUAACCGGGAGGGUGCGGUGAAUACUGAGGGACUAGAGUACGGGAGAGGAAAGUGGAAUUCCUGGUGUAGCGGUGAAAUGCGUAGAUAUCAGGAGGAACACCGGUGGUGUAAACGGCUUUCUGGACCGUAACUGACGCUGAGACACGAAAGCGUGGGUAGCAAACAGG